rnacentral:rRNA from 1 species
UACGUAGGGUGCAAGCGUUGUCCGGAAUUAUUGGGCGUAAAGAGCUCGUAGGCGGUCUGUCGCGUCGGCUGUGAAAACUCGGGGGCUCAACCCCCGAGCCUGCAGUCGAUACGGGCAGACUAGAGUGCGGUAGGGGAGACUGGAAUUCCUGGUGUAGCGGUGAAAUGCGCAGAUAUCAGGAGGAACACCCGUAGCGAAGGCGGCACUCUGGGCCGUGACUGACGCUGAGGAGCGAAAGCGUGGGGAGCAAACAGG